rnacentral:rRNA from 1 species
UACGAGAGGCCCAAACGUUAUUCGGAAUUACUGGGCUUAAAGAGUUCGUAGGCGGCGCAGAAAGUAGGGUGUGAAAACCCUCGGCUUAACCGAGGAAUUGCGCCCUAAACUACUGUGCUUGAGGAACCUAGAGGUGAGCAGAACAGAUGGUGGAGCGGUGAAAUGCGUUGAUAUCAUCUGGAAUACCGGAGGCGAAGGCGGCUCACUGGGGGUUUUCUGACGCUGAGGAACGAAAGCCAGGGUAGCGAACGGG